rnacentral:lncRNA from 1 species
CUCCGGAACCCUUAGACUCCUCCAGCAGACGAGCCUCCCCAACGCCAUCCGAAGUCCACCACCAGCCGACCUUCCGCCAGAUUUCUCAUGAAACCAGACUCCUCCGACGGAUAAUCUUCAGACGAGCUUCCGCAUCAGGCAAAUCCCAGACGGACUUUCUUAGCAAUUGGACUCCUACCGGACUUCGCCAAUAGAAAGUCUUCAUCCGAGUCUCUACAGUAGAUGGUUCUCACAUGUAGCCUCAGCACCCAAGGCCUCCGACAAUAGUAGACUCGUCAGCGACCUCAGAAAUAUCCGAGCUUCUCCUAGAUCAACGAGACAGAGAGCCAUUCCACUCCAUCAGACAUCCCAGUCGAGCUUCAGCUGACAGAUCCGAACUCUCUGGCAAGCCGCGAUGAGGGCCGCUACCCUGCUCCACUCUCUGCAACGGAUUCCAUGCGGCUCCACCACUCUCUGCAAUGAAUUUCAUGCGGCUCCACUACUCUCUGGCAAGCCACAACAAGGGCCACUACCCUGCUCCACUCUCUGGCAAGUCACGACAACGGACACCACUC